rnacentral:rRNA from 1 species
CCUACGGGAGGCAGCAGUGGGGAAUAUUGCACAAUGGGCGAAAGCCUGAUGCAGCAACGCCGCGUGAAGGAAGACGGUUUUCGGAUUGUAAACUUCUGUUCUUAGUGAAGAAUAAUGACGGUAACUAAGGAGCAAGCCACGGCUAACUACGUGCCAGCAGCCGCGGUAAUACGUAGGUGGCAAGCGUUAUCCGGAUUUAUUGGGUUUAAAGGGAGCGUAGGCCGGCUUUUAAGUCAGCUGUGAAAGUCCGCGGCUCAACCGUGGAAUUGCAGUUGAAACUGGAGGCCUUGAGUGCACACAGGGAUGCCGGAAUUCAUGGUGUAGCGGUGAAAUGCUUAGAUAUCAUGAAGAACUCCGAUCGCGAAGGCAAGUGUCCGGGGUGCAACUGACGCUGAGGCUCGAAAGUGCGGGUAUCAAACAGGAUUAGAUACCCUUGUAGUC